AUCCAUCUGACAAGUCCAGAGUAGGACGAAACGCGCGUCAAACUGGAU
rnacentral:hammerhead_ribozyme from 1 species